GCUCCGUGAAGUCAGCUCCUUGCGUCGGCAGAGAACGAGACUCUUAAUCUCAGGGCCGUGGGUUCAAGCCCCACGUUGGGCA